rnacentral:rRNA from 1 species
UACAGAGGCCCCAAGCGUUACUGAGAAUCACUGGGUUUAAAGGGUGCGUAGGUGGCGCGUUUAAGUCCGUUGUGAAAGCCCUGGGCUCAACCCAGGAACUGCUUCGGAUACUGGCGCGCUUGAGGCUAGUAGGGGUCACUGGAACUGACGGUGGAGCGGUGAAAUGCGUAGAUAUCGUCAGGAACGCCAAUGGUGAAGACAGGUGACUGGGCUAGUUCUGACACUGAGGCACGAAAGCGUGGGGAGCGAACGGGG